UCGGAAGAAAUCAGAGAGAUGUCCAUUCUGAAUAACACAUGAUGUUGUAUCAUAAGUUAAUAAAUUAAUCCAGCGUAUAAUCUGUGGCCCAAAACCAAAUUUUAGUAAAACAGAGUUGAUAAAUUCUUUAGAAACUGUGUCAAAAGCUUUUUCGAAGUCAAUUAAAAUCAGCAGACCAGGAAUAUCUCUUUUCUUUGUUUCAAAUAUAAGAUCAUAUAAUAACCUUGUAUUUUCACUAAGAGUUCUACCCGGUAUGAAUCCAGUCUGGUUAUUAUGUAUCAAAGAGUCUAGGGUGAUUUUUAACCGGUUAGAGAUACAUGCACUAAUUAUUUUAUACAAAGCAUUUAAUAAAGUAAUUGGUCUCCAGUUCUUUAAUAAGGCCCUAUCUUUAUUAGCUUUAGGUAUACAAGUGAUAACUCCUCUUUUCAUGGUAAGAGACAUCUUAUUUCUUCUUGAAACAUCAUUGAUAAAUCUAAAAAUCCAAAUUUUGAGUUCUUUCCAAAAGUACUUGAAGAAAUCUAUAGGAAAUCCAUCAAUUCCAGGACUUUUGUUAUUCUUCAUACUUUUUACUGCAAAUGAUAUUUCAUUCAUAUCUAUUUCUUUUUCCAAAUUGUCUCUAAAUUGGUCACUCAAGAUUGGAAUUAUUACAUUGUCUAAGUGGUCAUCAUUUUUAUAAUUCUUGUCUGAAGAAUAAAGUUUUUUAUAAAAUUCUUUCAGUUCAUUUAAUAUUGAUUUACUGUCAGUAAUUUCCUCAUUCUUAUCUGUAAUAACUCUAUUUAUUGCUUUGCUUUAAUUUCUAUUUUCUAAAUGGCAGAAGUAUUUUGUUGCUGUUUCUCCUUCUUCAUACCAUAAGAUUCUGUUUCUAAGUUGAAUUCCUCUUAUCUCUUCUUCUUUAAUUUGUUGUAUACUAUUUUUAAGGUUCAUUUGGAA